rnacentral:miRNA from 1 species
CUUCUUAAGUGCUGAUAAUGC